CCUUUGUGGCUCAGCGGGUUAAGAACCCAACUUGUAUCCAUGAGGAUUCCGGUUUGAUUUCUGGCUUUGUUCAGUGGGUUAAGGAUCCUGCAUUGCCCCAAGCUUUUGCAUAGGCUGCAGAUGAGGCUUGGAUCCAGUGUUGCCAUGGCUGUGGCAUAGGUGGGCAGCUGCAGCUCCAAUUUGACCCCUAGCCUGGGCACUUCCAUAUGCCACAGGUGUGGCCCUAAAAAAAAAGAAGUAUAUACAUCUUCUAAUCAACAGUUUUUUUUGUCGUUGUUUUGUUGUUUUGUCUUUUUGUCUUUUUUGAGGGCUGCACCCAUGGCAUAUGGAGUUCCCAGGCUAGGGUCUAAUCAGAGCUGUUGCCACCAGCCUAGGCCAGAACCACAGCAACGCCAGAUUCGAGCCAUGUCUGCAACCUACACCACAGCUCACGGCAAUGCCAGAUCCUUAACCCACUGAACAAAGCCAGAAAUCAAACCGGAAUCCUCAUGGAUACAAGUUGGGUUCUUAACCCGCUGAGCAAGGCCAGGGAUAGAACCGGAAACCUCAUGGUUCCUAGUCAGUUUUGUUUCCUCUGCGCCACGACGGGAACUCCGUUUUGUUCGUUUGCUUUUUAAAUAUCUGUUUAGUUUCUAAAAUGUCUCGAUUUACCUCUUUCUUGUUAAGCUUAAUGACAGUGAAUACUGAAGAUUUAAUGUGAUAUUUCCCAUCUGUUUGAGGAUAAGCGUGUUUUAGAAUCUCAGUUUCCUUUGGCUUUAGCUAAACCUUACAGAGCCUGAUGUGGCCCUCAUCAGUACGAGAAUGAAAGUCAUGUUCUUUUGCCUUUGUUCACCCACAGAAGAGUCGUCUUCCCCAGAUGACUCCCGAAAGCUCCAGUGGGCUGGACUUUGACUUGGUUCCAGUAGACAGCUCAGUGUUAUCCUGUGAACGACCAAGGAUUAAUCAAGAGAAAAAGGAGGAGGAAAGGAAGAGCUACCGAUGCAUGGGUGUCCCCCACCAUCUCCCAUAAAAAGCAUCUUAAAGAAAACCCUAAG
rnacentral:lncRNA from 1 species